rnacentral:hammerhead_ribozyme from 1 species
AUCCAUCUGACGAGUCCCAAAUAGGAUGAAAUCCCCGUCCUGAAU